rnacentral:rRNA from 1 species
GACGAACGCUGGCGGCGUGCCUUAUACAUGCAAGUCGAGUGGGUUUAGACCCACGGCAAACGGGUGAGUAACACGUAGGUACUUUCCUUCUCACAGGAAUAACCCUCCGAAAGGAGGGCUAAUACCUGAUGUCAUCGCAAGAUUAAAGGGGAUCCGCAAGGAUUACCGGGCAAGAAGAGGCCUGCGGCCUAGCAGCUAGUUGGCGGGGUACAUGCCCACCAAGGCUAUGACGGGUAGCUGGUCUUAUGAGGAUGAUCAGUCACAUGGGCACUGAGACACGGGCCCAACUCCUGAGGGAGGAAGCAGUAGGGAAUUUUGCGCAAUGGGCGAAAGCCUGACGCAGCGCCGCCGCGUGCGGGAUGAAGGCCUUCGGGUCGUAAACCGCUUUUAUAAGGGACGAACUUUGACGGUACCUUAUGAAUAAGAGGUUGCUAACUCUGUG